CCUACGGGGAGCAGCAGUGGGGGAUAUUGCACAAUGGGGGAAACCCUGAUGCAGCGACGCCGCGUGGGUGAAGAAGCGCCUCGGCGCGUAAAGCCCUGUCAGCAGGGAAGAAAAUGACGGUACCUGAAGAAGAAGCCCCGGCUAACUACGUGCCAGCAGCCGCGGUAAUACGUAGGGGGCAAGCGCUAUCCGGAUGUACUGGGUGCAAAGGGGGCGCAGGCGGCGAUGCGAGCCAGGAGGGAAAGCCCGGGGGCCAACCCCGGGACAUCGCGUGGAACUGCGUGGCUAGAGUGCAGGAGGGGCAGGCGGAAUUCCUGGGGUAGCGGUGAAAUGCGUAGAUAUCAGGAGGAACACCGGAGGCGAAGGCGGCCUGCUGGACUGCAACUGACGUUGAGGCCCGAAAGCGUGGGGAGCAAACAGGAUUAGAUACCCUAGUAGUC
rnacentral:rRNA from 1 species